GGAAGUCCCUGGCCUGUCUGUGAAAGAGUGAGACCGAACGUACAGCAUGGAGGGCCAGCAGCGCUGCAGCUGUAGCCCGGAAAGGAAGGAAAAUACCCAUCCAAUUUCCAGAGCAGCAUCUCGCUCAGGAUUGGCAGAGAGAGGCCGCUCAAAGGUAUUUCCGGCCCUGAGAGGGGCAGAGGGGGGUCAGUUCCCUGCAGGCUGCAGGGAGAGAGGAGCGGUUGAGUGUCUUGGCAGGCAGAAACUGCAGAGCAUGCCUGAAGAACACUGUGGGAGUGACCCUGAGGCAGGCGGAGGCCUGUGAACAAGCGGCUAGUGGGAUCUCCGGAGUGGAGCCACAGCUAAGGAUCCGGAGAAGGGUCUGAAGGGAAAAAAUCUACAGUCACAGGUAGAGCCUUCCUGCAUGGUGGGGGAGACCCCGAAAAACUGUGAGCGUUCAUAGGGGUGCAGGGUAGGCUUGCACAGCAGAGAAUGGACUAAGGGAUUUGUUCUGGGGACAUUGCCAGAGCCUGACAAGAAGGCUGAGAAGCAGCCGAGGUUUUUUUUCUGUGAUUUCUUUUGCUGUCUAUUUUUUUUGGUUUUGUUUGAGCGCCGGCCAAGACCGGCCCCUGGAAGGGUGUACCCAAAAGAGGCACUAGGACACCCUGGGGUGCAGAGAAGGUUACAACUGGCAGCACUGCAACCUGGCUGUGAAAGAACAUUGUAAAACACCAUCUGGAGAGGUUAGGCUGGUGUAAAGGGGAGAUUUGGAGCCCCACCGAAGACACAGGGAUCAAGACCAGGCAGGAUCACCGUGGGCGUUGCCUCCCGGGAAUAUAAAUGUCACCAAAGUCAUGGCAGGAGAGAAAAACGUAAGAUCUACUUCCUGGCAGACCUGGUGAUCCAGAGCCAAGGUCUACCCUGUCACCACCUGUAGGCCGAUGAGCACAGGGCAGUACUAGCAAGCCCUACAAUACCUACAGACGUCACACUGCCUCUUUUCUAAAUCCUCUUGGGAAACCCUCCAAACCAAGUCACAUGUUUUCUGAGACCAUGCCAAUGCAGACAGAAGCAAAUUGGAUUCUUACGCUUUGGAAGCCUCAGACACUGUUCAGACCUCUGUCGGCAGCAGUAUGGAUGAGAUCUUGGUGGUUGAGACAGAUUUCUGGACUCCCAAAACAGAUCCAGGGACCAUGGCAGACCCCCAACAGACUGCAUCAGAGCCACCAGCAAAGAGCAUGGAAGUGGCAGACAAGCUAAACCCCAACGGCUCUGAUGAAGUAACUAAUUUAGAUUUUUUUUGGAGGGAGCAGUUUUCUACAGUAACAGGAUGAUUCUGUGUUUACUAUAUAAUCCCUAUAUAAUUACACUAUACCAGUAAGGCCCUUUUUUCCUGCCUUACCACCAAGGCCUGACAGAUGUCUGCCAAGAAAGCACUACCGUAGCAAUAGUUCUGAAGAGAUGGAGAUUAAGGAGAGUAGCCCCCUAACCCAAGACUUGCCUGAGAUGUUUAAUGGCCAGUUGCCAGAGCAGACGCUGAGGAUUCUGGAGAAGAGGGAUAUCUCGUGUUGGAUGCUGAGGGAGAAGAUGUCUCCAAGGGGGCAGAGGCACUGCUUGAUGAAGCCUUUCUAAUGACACCAGAAAGACAACACAGCAGCAUCCCUGUAACCCCUGUAUUGGAAAAGAGAAGCUGUUUUUGUGACAAUCAGAGGCCUGAUGCUUCAAAAGAAGAAGGUGCUGUGGCUUUUAGAAGACAACUAGGAAUUGAAUGAGCAGGCCCUGUCUCACAGCAGGGAUGUAAAAGCCUCAUGAAAUCUCUUGUACAUGUUUGUUGUUAUGAUAUACUGAAAUAUUGCUCGAGAAAGAGACUUUUUGAAGACUGCAUGGGCUGUCUCCGAGCUGCACCAUGGAAGCCACAAUUGUGUGGAUUGGACAGAUGAGGAUAUAAAUCAGACAAUUCAGGAACUUUGUACUCAGCUGUGUAUGGAAAGUAUUCAAAAGCUAUUAUUAAAGUUAGGGUACUUUAUGGAUUGUCUAUGCCUCACUGAGAAACAUUUAGCUGAGAGUGUGGCAAUUAUAAACCAUUGGCUGAAGACCCAAAUGCUGCUUGGGGGAGCGCCACCAUGAUUCUGAAGUCAUGCCAAGGAACGGACAGAGGGUGGGGGAGCCCCACCCUGCUCCCUGCUAGAGGAAGAACAGUGGCAGCAUGGAGUGUUAGGUAGCAGCACUCUAUCCCAGCCCCCUCUCCGCUUGAUGGGCAAUUGGCUAGUAUUAUUAUAAAAUUAAAGGAGUCACAAAUAAAGGCAUGUUGAAACAUGCCUGAAGAAAAUCCUGUGGAGCAGGUGAAGACUGUCGCCUUGAAGUAAUUAGACCUGAUGGCUAUAACCGGUUGUUCUUUUCACACAUAAGAAUCUUACAAAAAGAAACAGGCCAGGUGGUACCACCCCAAAAUUAAAUGGAUUUGAUUCCAUCACAAUGGUUCUACAGGGAUGAAUCAAAGAUCAGGAUGCAAAAACCAGGACUGUCCUUGAUGAUGACCCACCAAUCAGAGAGAGAGGCCUCAUAAAUAUUAAAAUCAGAAGUCAUCAGAAUAUAACCCCUCAGUAGGUCAGAAAGCACCCCUUUUCUCAGGAUGUUGGAACUGUUCCAAGGAGAAUUUAUCUCUGUAGUCAUACGUUGUAUAUAUCUUUAUAAGCUUUUUAUGCUUUACUUACUUUUUUCUCUUUGGUCUUCAUUAUAUAGAGUCUAUCUACUGAAUUAAAGGUUCAGGCACCAGAAGAUGCUAAACUUUAGAUAAGAAAAACAUCAGAAGAGUCAGACCAAGGCAGGAGUUAUGUAUGUAACUGUGAGAGUCGAUGCUGAACAUCUCCUCCCUCUGAGUUUGUCCCAGCUCGCUGUGUUUUUCAUGGCAGCUUUUGAUCUUUCACUGCCCUGGCUUCCCCAGCUGAUUCUCUUCAUUGUCCGGGGUGCAGCAUUCCUCUCGCUCAGGCUUGUCGUGCCUUUCAGCUUCAUUCGGGUUCACCCCGGUUAUUCUUUUCUUUGUUUACUUGCUUCGACGUUCUUGUGGCAGGGCAUGUAAGCCGCCCUGCCACAUACCUCCCCGCUUAGUGGAAGUCUCACUUGUGAGACACUAGUCACUGUCUUUCCUCUGUUGUUGUUCCCUUUCUUUGUUUCCAUCACCACUGAUUGUUUGCUAUUUGUCAGUCUCGAGAGAUAGUUUGCUGUGAUGUUUAGCCAGCCUGGUUGGUGUUUUAUGGAGAAACAAAAAGGUUGUAGGGCCAAGGCCCAUCUCAUCAAUCUGGGUGUGAUGAAAGGAGCCAACUCCCAGGCCCAGUCCCAGGACUGGCCUGCUCCUUUGUCUUUGGGCAAAACCGCCCACCUUGUUCACCUUCCACACCUUGUCAUAGAUUGUUUCAGUUGUUAAAUAAAUGGGAGGCUGCCCUUCAACCACUUUGAUGACAAGGGCCAAAUGUAAACGCUUUGACCACCCCUUUACAUGUCCCAUGCCUCGCAGAUAACACACUCCGAUUAGUAUUUACCCUGUCUUGAGGUCAGACCAAACUCAACACACAGUUAGGCCUCUUACAUCCUGCCCCAUUCUGGGCCACAUGGAUACCAUCCCCCUCUUACUGAGGCCUGCUCUUACCAGGCCUCUCAUACCGCCUGUCGUGGCCCUCUCUCAUACCACCCCAUUGGGCCACAUGCACCCUGCCCUUACUCCCUUUGAGUACCUGGAGGGCCAUCAGGCUUAUCUCUCCUCAGCCAGCAGGCAUGCAGCUUUUUGGACCUCUCCAAUGACCCUCAUUUAAAUGGAUGCUGGGUGAUCCGCAGAACUGUGGGCUGACUUUGCCCCACACCCCUCAGUAGGUCACUACUCCACCCCUACCACUCUGGGGCUCCGCUCUCCCUUCUCUCUGGGCCUCUCAACACUACUCUCUCUCAGGGCCUCUCAACUCUGCCCUGUCUCUAGGGUCACACUACUUUGCCCUCUUAUUCAGGCAUGGGGUCUAACACCCCUGUAGGCUCAGGUGCCACUCUACUUGCUGUGCCUGGCCCUCCACUCUGUCCUCUCCCUAGGGCAUGGGGUCAAACACCCCCGUAGGCUCAAGUGCCCCACUCUGCAUGCCUGGCCCACCACUCUAGAUAACUCACCCACCCCGAGGUGGAGGAUGGGAUUCAAGUGCCCCUAGCUGCCUUUCACCGGGGUGGUUACUGGCUUGGCAUUUCUUGGGGACUGUCCCACCAUGAACAGCCCCACCAGACCACCUAUCUGCAGGAUGCAGUUUCAGGUCAUGCCCAGGACCAAUGAGGCCUCCUUCCCCAAAGCCUCACCCUUACCUCUGAGCUGUUCGUGGAACAGGAGCUCCACCGGGCAAUGUUACUGCUAGGGCUGCUAAUCACAAACUGCUCCCUUCACAAGGAGAACUGGGCUCUAAAAUCUGCCCACAUCAGCUACCUGGCGAUUGCCUGCUUUGGCCCUUAAAGUGACAGAGCAUUAAAGCUGUUCGUCACACUGGGGUUUUUGGUUUUUGACAUCUGUAGCCACCUAAGUGGUGCAUGGUCCAUAAUUAAAAUGAAUUUUCUCCCAUAUAGAUAGUGCCAAAAUAAUUUGACUCCCCACUUUAUUGCCAAGCACUCUGUUAUUGCCAUUCUAUUGUUGAAUAUUGGGUUUUGGCCUUGGAUAGUUUCUGGCUCGUGAAGGCUAUCGGCCUUUUGUCUCCCUGGACUUGUGAUAGGAUGGCCCCCAAGGUGAUAGCCAAAGCAUCUGUGUGUAGUCAGAAUGUUUGUUUAAAAUCAGGCGUAUACAGCGCCAGGGUGUUACACAGCACUGUCUUUACCUUUGUAAAUGCCUCCUGGGUUUCUUGGGUCCAUUCUACUCGGCCCCCUCCCUUCCUCUGUAGUAUGCUGGUUAAGGAGGUAGCUAACUCUGAGAACCAAGGUAUAAACCUCCAGUAGUAGUUUACUAACCCUAAGGAAGGCUCUCAGCUGCUUCUUGAUCUGUGGUUGUUGGUAUGAUUGUAUCGCCUCCACUUCGUUGGCUAUUGGGGCUAUUCUCCCCUGCCGUAACUUGAACCCUAAGUAUUUAAUUUCCGUUUGCCCCAGGGCACAUUUUUUUGGGUUGGCCAUCAGCCCGUUGUGUCUUAACUCUUCUAAGAUAUUCUCUAUGUGGUGCACAUACUGUUCCCAUGUCCCUGAACAGAUAACAGUAUCGUCAAUAUAUGCCACAGCGUAUUCUCAGCGGGUUGUUAGGAUCCUGUCCAUCAAUCUUUGAAAAGAGGAGGCCAUUCCAUGUAGGCCAAAGGGCAGAUGUAUAAACUGGCACAGGCCCCAGGGCAUACCAAAGGCGGAUUUCACCUUGUCCUUGGGUGCCGUGGGGAUCUGCCAGUACCCCUUUGUUAAAUCUAAGGUGAAAAUAUACUUGGCCUACCAUAUCUUUUCCAACAUCUCUUCAAUAUUGGGCAUCGGAAAAGCAUCGAAGGAGGAAAUAGUAUUCACCUUUCUGAAGUUGACGCAGAGCUGAAUGGCCCCAUUGGGUUUCGGUACCAUCACCAAGGGGCUCCUCCAAGGUCUCUGUGACUCCUGGAUGAUGCCUCGGGCCAACAUUUGCUCUAAUUCCUUUUGCACUGGGAUGUAUAGGGCUUGGGGUAGCUUCCUCCAAUGUUCCCUUACUACCUGGCCAGGCCUGCUCCUGAACCGGUGAUAUAUCCCUUUGGCUCUGCCCAGCACUUCGGUAAAUACAUCUUUAAACCUGCUUGCCAAUCAUUUUAGCUGUUCCCGCCCCCACUUGAGGUAUUUGCUCCCCGAUCACUGGGGCUGGUCUGGCCUCAUCCUGGCCCUUUCUAGUCUCUGGGGCCCACUCUUCUUCUACCGCCCAGGGGUCCAUCAAGUAGUUGUCACAGGUUUCCCUCUUCUUUAACAGGUUUACGUGAUACAUUUGCUUGUACCUGCGCCAUCCUAUGUGGUGUAUGUGUCUGCCUCUGCUCCAAAAGGCGUUCCCAGGCUACUUUUGCGCGGGUAGCUGACCGGGUCUGCCCUGGUCCUGCGGGAGGGUCCCCAGAGGGUGCCUCGGGUGACAGUGGCAGACCCCCGGAACUCGCCAGCCGCGGUCUUAACUGGACCCUCAAUGGUGGGUCCCCCUCUCCGCGGCCUCCAGUGCCAACACGCCUUUGGCGGGCACUCACGGGGCUCCAACCUCCCCUACACCCCGGCCAACUCCACCUUCAGUCGUGGAUCUUUCAGCUUCUUAUCACCGGCCCCGCCUCGGCUCUUCCCUCGUCCCCGACCCGCUCGACUCGGUGACUUGAGCUGGGUUCCGGUCUGAGGACCACGAGACCCGAGAUUCUGUUGCCCCUGUGGGCUUCCUCCCCGGCGUCCCUGCUGGCUCUCUCCCUGGUUCCUGCCGGCUCUUCCACCAGUUCCUUCACCGGUGUCCCUGUCGGCUCUUCCUCUGGCUCCCUCACUGGCGUCCCUGCUGGCUCUCCCUCCAGCUCCCUCACCGGCGGUCCCUGCUGGCUUUUCCACUGGUUCCUUCACCGCUGGUUCCCGUCCCCGCUCUCCUACCGGCUCUUGCGUCAGCUCCACAGCUGGAGUCCUCAUGGCUGCGGCUCUUGCUGCUCUCGCCGCUCUCGCUGCUCUCGCCGCUCCCUGCGCUGCUGCAGCUUACCCUGCCCAAGGCAGAGACACCCCGCGGGUGCCCGCUUCCGCCCUCGGGCUUCCCUCCAGGCUUCGCAUUCUCCUGCAGCGUGCCUCCUGUGCCCCCGGGGCUGCACUUUAUUCCCGCCGGGUGGCGUCUCUCACUGACAUCACCUGACCUCAGCUGAAUGUAAGCGCGGCUAAUAACCUGCGCGGGUGGUUUCCCAGCGUGCGCGCCUCCACUGCCCUUGACUCCUGCAAAGGGUAAGUAUACGUUUUCAUUUCCUUUGGUUUUGGGCCGGGGUUUCCCUCUAGCCCUGGUGUCCCUGGGACAUAACCCCCCCCUUAAGAUGCCUUGGGGCGCUUCUUCGUUCCCCAUCCGGGUCGUAUCUGUGGUGUCAGUCCGUCCCUUUACUUGACCUCCUUGGUUCCCAGUCUGGUCUUUGCCUCUACACCUGGACAAGAAGUCUGCCACUGUAUUGGUUUUUCCGGGUCGUUGUAUUAUGUGGAACUUAUAUGGUUGGAGUGCCAAGGACCACCGGGUAAUCCGGGCAUUAUCGGUCUUGGCUGUACUCAGCCACCUCAGCGGGGCAUGGUCAGUUACCAGUUUAAACUCUCUACCCAUCAGGUAGUAUCUAAAGUGGUCUACUGCCCACUGAAUUGCCAGGCACUCGUGUUCGAUAGUUGCGUACCUUUUCUCCGCUGGUAGCAGUUUGCGGCUUGCGUAUGCCACGGGUCUUUCAUUCUCCCCCUCUUCCUGGGUGAGGACGGCACCCACCGCUGUCUCUGAGGCGUCCAUCUGUAAAAUAAAGGGUUUUCGGAAGUCAGGGGUGUGAAUUAUAACAUCUUCGCACAACGCCCUUUUCAAUCUUUCAAAACUUUGCACCAUCUCUUUCGUCCAUUUUACUGCCCCCGUUUUCCGCCCUUUGAGGGCCUCCGAUAAGGGUGUUGCCAGCUCUGCGAAGUGCGGUACAAAUCGCCUGUAAUAAUUGGUUAGCCCUAAAAAUGACCGUAGCUGGUGGCAGUUUUGAGGGGCUGUGAAGUUGCAGAUGGUUUCUACCUUGUCGGCCAAGGGUUUAAUCGUGCCUCUGCUGACCAAGAACCCUAAAUAUUUUGUUUCUUUCUGGGCCAGGACACAUUUUCGGGGGUUUGCAGUUAGGCCGGCGUGCCUCAGUUCUGUGAGGAUGGCUCGAAGGGCGCUCUUGUGCUGCUCCCAGGUCCGGGAGUAUAUGACUAUAUUGUCUAUGUACGCCGCCGCGUAUUUGGCGUGGGGUGCCAGGAUCUGGUCCAUUAGACGUUGGAACGUUGCGGCGGCACCAUGUAAUCCAAAGGGCAUUCUAAUGAACUCGUACAGUCCCCACAGGGUGCCGAACGCUGUCUUCAGCCGGUCUUCCUUGGCCACUGGAAUCUGCCAAUAUCCCUUUGCCAGGUCAAGGGUCGAUAUAUACCGGGCAUCCCCUAUCCUUUCUACCAGCUCUGCCACGUGGGGCAUGGGGAAUGCGUCGAAAACUUCCAUGGCAUUCAAUCUUCUGUAAUCCACACAAAGCCUUAAAGACCCGUCAGGCUUAUGCACCGGCACCAGUGGGCUCCUCCAGGGACUUCUUGAAGGCCGAAUGACUCCUAGCCUCAACAUUGAAUCUAUCUCUCUGCGGACGGUUUCCAGGAGGUGGUGGGGAAUGGGUCGCCACCUCUCCCUCACUAUUGCCCCAGGGGGCAUUUUUAUAGCGUGGCACAAGCCCCGAACCCAGCCGGGUUCCUUGCGGAAUACUUCUCGGAACUCGUUUAUCAAGCUUCGGGCCUCUCGCUGCUGAACAGAGGACAAUUCCUCUCCUAUCCUAACCGGGGUUCCCUCUGGAGAGGGCUCAGUCCCUCUUUCUAACCCCUGGGGUCCUAGGUCCUCGUUAUCGGCCUUGGAAAAGGCCACCCAUCCUUCGGGCUCCCGCCAUUCCCGUAGGAGGUUCACAUGGUAAAUUUGCUUUUCUCGAAGGUGUCUGGGCCUGUGAACCUCGUAAUCCACUGGUCCCACCCAUCGGAGAAUUUCAAAUGGCCCCUGCCACUGCUUUAGGAGCUUGCUCGUGGACGUGGGGAGCAGCACCAGGACUCUUUGCCCCGGCUCGAAUUCUCGCUCUUUGGCCCAGCGGUAAUACUGGCCUUUUUGACGGGUUUGGGCUUCUCUUAGGUUUUCCUGAGCUAGGUCCCGGGCCAAUCUGAUCCUGUGCUGGAACGCCUGUUGGUAUGUCUUUGGCUCCUGGGAGGGCCCUUCUCCCUGCUCCCAUUCUUCUCUCAAGACCUGCAAGAGACCCCGCGGGCGAUGUCCCAACACUCGCUCGAAUGGAGAGAACUUCGUGGAAUCUUGGGGGGUGUCCCUGAGAGUGAACAAUACUAGAGGAAGGAGGAGAUCCCAUUUCCAGGGGUCCCCUUGUAUGCACCGGCGCAAUACCCGUUUUAUCGUCCCAUUGAGGCGUUCUACCAACCCAUUGGUUUGGGGAUGGUAAACCGAGGUGCGGAGCUGUUUUAUUUGGAGGGUUCGGCAUACCACCCUCAAAACCCCAGACAUGAAAUUCUUUCCUUGGUCCGUUAGUAUCUCUUGCGGGAUCCCCAUCCGGGCUAUCCAUCUUAUUAGCUCUUCUGCAAUACAUGGGGCGGUUACGGCUCGCAGGGGGAUUGCAAGGUACCGGGUGGCAUAAUUCACAAUGACCAAGAUGUAUUGGUGGCCUGAGCUGCUGCGGGGAAAGGGGCCCAUGACAUCUAAGGCUAUCCUUGAAAACGGGGCGUCGAUAACGGGCAUGGGUUGGAGGGGUGCCCAUGGAGGAUGCUCGGUUCUCAUCUUUUGGCAGUUGGGGCAGGCUGCACAUUGGCGGGCCACUUCCUCCCCCAUCCCGGGCCAAAAAAACCACCUGCUCAUUCUCGCGAGGGUCUUGUCCCAGCCCAGAUGUCCCCCUGUGGGACUUGCAUGCGCCAACUGCCAAAUGGCCUGGCGGAAUCGGGCGGGCACUACUAGCUGCAAGCCCUCGGUCUCCUCCCCCCUGUCCCCUUUAAGGCGGUUCCUUACCUUGAAGCGGGGAUGCCCUUCAGGCGAUAACGUUGAGGCCCCUCUGGUACUUUGGGCCUGCUCUCGGAGCACCCCGAUCUCCUGAUCCUCCUCUUGUGCUUCUCCGAACAGGAGGCUACUGGUAAAGUCGCUAAGGUCCAAUUCAUCCGUCUCGUCAGCCGAACCUUCGUUUUCUUUGAUCUCGCCCAACCAGCCCUCCCGGUUCUGAAUCUUCUUACGGGCUACUUCCGUGUCCCUCACCCUAUCCAGGACGUCGUAUACUGGCGUCCAGUCUCAUCCUAGAAGCAUCUCACACGCUAACUGGGACACGACCCCCACCAGGAGUUCUCCCUCGUGCUCCAUUACCCGUAGGCGGACUCAUUGGCGCUCGAUCUGCUUGGCGUCCCCAUGGAGGCAGGCUACUCUCACGGGGUGAGCCGUCCACCGGCCAUGCGAUUGUACCAAAUCUCCUCUGACAAGAGAUUGAGCACACCCCGAAUCCAGGGUAGCUCGCAUGGGGCGACCUUCCACCCAAGCCUUGACAACGGGACGUCUCCAAGCCACGUUCUCCCCACCGACCACAUAGCUGCAGUCCAUUGGCUCGGCGGGCUCUGGGCCUCUCCACCACUCUGUUGGGGCCCUUGCUCUGUCGUCCGGGAUCCAGUGUUCUGCGGCUUGGCUCGGGCAUUCCCUAGAAAAAUGGCCCUUCUGCCCGCACCGGAAACACACGGUAUCUCUGGUAGCCCCCCGGCCAGGCGGACGCCGGCGCUCCGGCUCUCUUGGGGCUGCCAUCGAGGGUCCCAGGUUCCUCCUUUCCCUGGGGUAGUGGGCCUCCGAGGCAGUAAAAGCCUCGGCCAAUUUUAGAGCUUGUUCACAGGUCCGUGGGGUAUGUUGUCGGACCCAGCAUUGCGUCCGCUCUUCUAAAUCGUUCUGAAACUGUUCAAGGACGAUCUGGUCAGCCAAUGCCUCUCUGUCCUGCCCCGCUGGGUUCACCCACUUAUCCAGCAGAUCCCACAGAAGCUGCAACACUCUCGGUUGUUUCGCCUCAGGUCCCUUCUUGGCCCGGAACUGGCGACAGUAGUGCUCAGAGUUAAUCUCCAAUCUGUAUAGGAUGGCUUCCUUCACGUGCUUGUAGUCUUGGGCGUCAUCCCUCGAGAAGGCCCGAUAGGUGGCUUGGGCCUUGCCAACUACUAAGGCUCCUAACUGGCUGGCCCAAUAUCUCUUGUCGAGCCUGGUCAUGAGGGCGUGCCGCUCGAAUGCCUCGAUAUACACCUCCGGGUCGUUGUCCUUAGUCAUUUUAGGCAUUUUGAAGGACACCAAACUGUGUUGGAGCCAAUCCUGUUGCCGGUCUAGCAUUUGUUGCUGAGAGUUCAGGAUCUGGGUCAAAGCCUGUAAGUUCUGUCCGAGGACAUCAGCGGGACUGAUAGCCGUGGCUUGCAUGCUGGCAUAGGUUGCAAGGUCGGGUUCCUUCAUGAUCCCACUGCUGCCACCACGUUGUGCCCGCCUCUGCUCCAAAAGGCGUUCCCGGGCUACUUUUGCGCGGGUAGCUGACCGGGUCUGCCCCGGUCCCGUGGGAGGGUCCCCAGAGGGUGCCCCAGGUGACGGUGGCAGAACCCCCGGAACUCGCCAGCCGCGGUCUUAACUGGACCCUCAGUGGUGGGGUCCCCCUCUCCGCGGCCUCCAGUGCCAACAUGCCUUUGGCGGGCACUCACAGGGCUCCAACCUCCCCUACACCCCGGCCAACUCCACCUUCAGUCGUGGAUCUUUCAGCUUCUAAUCACCGGCCCCGCCUCGGCUCUUCCCUUGUCCCCGACCCGCUCGACUCGGUGACUUGAGCUGGGUUCCGGUCUGAGGACUACAAGACCCGAGAUUCUGUUGCCCCUGCGGGCUUCCUCCCCGGCGUCCCUGCCGGCUCUCCCACCGGUUCCUUCACUGGUGUCCCUGCCGGUUCUUCCACUGGUUCCUUCACUGGUGUCCCUGCCGGCUCUUCCUCUGGCUCCCUCACCGGCAUCCCUGCCGGCUCUCCCUCCAGCUCCCUCACCGGUGUCCCUGCUGGCUCUUCCACUGGUUCCUUCACCGCUGGUUCCCGUCCCCGCUCUCCUACCGGCUCUUGCGUCAGCUCCACAGCUGGAGUCCUCGUGGCUGUGGCUCUCGCCGCUCUCGCCGCUCCCCGCGCUGCUGCAGCUUACCCUGCCCAAGGCAGAGACACCCCGCGGGUGCCCGCUUCUGUCCUCGGGCUUCCCUCUGGGCUUCGUGUUCUCCUGCAGCGUGCCUCCUGUGCCCCCGGGGCCGCACUUUAUUCCUGCCGGGUGGCGUCUCUCACUGACGUCACCUGGCCUCAGCUGAAUGUAAGCGCGGCUAAUAACCCACGCGGGUGGUUUCCCGGCAUGCGCACCUCCGCUGCCCUUGACUCCUGCAAAGGGUAAGUAUACGUUUUCAUUUCCUUUGGUUUUGGGCCGGGGUUUCCCUCUAGCCCCAGUGUCCCUGGGACAGUGUACUUUGUAGUUUAUGGGGCCCACUUUCCUCCUUAUCCUAAAAAGGCCUUGCCAUCUGGAUACUAAUUUGCUUGUGUGGUCUGGUAGAAUAACUAGAACCAUAUCGCCCUCCCUUAAUUCUCUUGUUCAGGUACCCUGGUCAUAUCUCUGCUUCUGGCUAGCUUGGCUCUCUUUCAAGUUAUCCCUUGCAAUCUGUCUUACCCUUUCCAAUCAUUCCUGAAGCUCUCAGACCUGAUGUGAGUUCUUGUUGCCCCCAGGUUCAUUCUCCCCCCAGCCCUCAUGGACAAUAUCAAGCAGGCCUCGUGGUUUGUGGCCAAAGGUCAACUCAAAGGGGAUGCAGCCUAGGGAGGCUUAGGACACUUCCCUGAUGGUGAACAGGAGAGGGGUAGAUAUAGUUUCUAUCUCCUAGUAUCCCCCUGGAUACAAUUCCUUAUCGUGGCCUUCAGAAUCUGAUUAAAAUGCUCAAUGAGACGGUCGGUUUGUGAGUGAUACACCAACAUCCUCAAGUGUCGGAUCUUAAAGGUCAUGCACACCCCCUUUAGUAUUCUCAACAUAAAAUUUGUGUCCUGGUCAGAGAGUAUCUCCCUAGGGAUCCCUACUUGCAUGAUCCACUGUAUCAGUUCCUCUGCCACUUUGGGGGCCGUUGCUACCUUCAUGGGUAUUGCAUCUGGAUAGCAGGUAGUGUAAUUCACUAUGAUGAGGAUGAAUUGGUAUCCUGCCACACUCUUGGGGAGUGGGCUGAUUACCUCUAGCGCUAUUUUAUCAAACGGCUGGGUCACUAUUUCUAGGGGGGUCGCAUCAGGGCCUGAGGGGGUAGGCAGUCUGAGUACCAUUGGCAAUCCAGACAGGAGCUGCAGAAUUGUUCCACUUGCUUGUGCAAGCCCAGUCAGUAAGUCUGUAGUGUAAGCCACUCAACUCUCUUGUCACAUCCCAAAUGUUCCCCCAAUGGUAAUGCAUGUGCUAUUUGUAUCAGGUCCCUCUGAUAUCAACAGGGCACUAAUAUCUAGACUAUCUCUUCUCCCACCACCUUCUCUUUGUUGAUUCAGUAGAGGAUAUGGUCUCUUACCUCAAAGUGAGGGUAAGUCGUUAGUAGCUCUGGUUUCUCUAUCACCCCUUCCUGCUGGGACCUGUCCUCUUGCCCAGAGUCUGUGGCCUCUUCCCCCUGGAAGCCAUCUUCCAGGUCAUUUCCCUCCCUAGUCUUGGGUCAUUCUAUCUCUCUGUCCCUAGGCUUGGUUCAUUGUCUCCUAGAAGUAGGGCUAUUCCCGCCCCAGGAGCAUGGGAUAUAGCAGUGUCUGGGUGAAGGCAACUGGCAUCUUCUCCAAUCUGUUCAUUACUGUUAGCACUAACCUCCUUCUGGGGUAGGUGUAAGCUUCCCCAUGUAUACAGACCAUAUUGAUAUUGGUGUUGGGUUUGCUUUCCUGUGACUCAAUUACACCUUCACAGAUCAUGGUUUGUGCAUGCCCUGAAUCUAAGAGAGCAGGGAUGAGCACUGACCCAAUCUUGACCUGAACCAUGGGUUUUGGGACUCCACUUCCUCAGUUGAGACAACCGAAACUACAGUCCAUCUGCUCCUAAUGUUCUGGCUCCCUGUUCUUACCCUUCUCCAUCUCGGGUUCUGGUUCCCAGGGUCAAGCUGCUUGGGACACUGUCGGGAUAUGUGUCUGGAGCCCCUGCACCUGAAACAUAUCACGCUGCAUUCCACAGGUGGUUACCCUGCUCAGGGUGGGUUCUUACUGCUCUCUGGCUUCUUUGCUAUCUCCGUUGGCCUGAUGUUCUUUCCUUUCAAAUCAACCUUCUCGGCAGUCAUGAAGGCCCCUGCCAACUGUAGUGCUUUCUCCAUAUUCUGGGGUUGAUGUCAUCUUACCCAGCUAUGGGUCUCCUCUUCCAGAUCCUCUAGGAACUGUUCGAGGGUGAAAAUUUCUAGGACUUCUCUCACCAUCUACCUAUUGGGUUGGAUUCAGCAUUUGAUGGAGUCCUUUAGGAUCUGGGCUAGUAUCCAAGGUCUCUUCUCUUCCAGUCUCUUAGGGGCACGGAAUUGAUGCCUGUACAACUCAGGGAGAAUUUCGAGUCGGUACAGGAUGGCCUGCUUCACAGCCUUGUAAUCAUUGGUCUCGGUGCACGAUAAGGCUCUAAUGGCUACCUGUGACUGACCGAUCAGCAGGGGCCCCAACAAGGAAGCCCACUUACUGCAGUCCCAACCAGCCACAGUUGUAGUUUGCUCGAAGGCCUCUAGGUAGGCCUCAUCAUCCACUGUCAUCUUGGGCAUUCAGAACUUAUCUGAGGCCCCUAACACGGCUGCUUGUUGGGCUUCUAUUUUUUCGCUAUGGUCUUGCUGCUGACUGAGCAUAGCCAUGCUGGCCUCAGCCUUCUGAGUCCUCACCCAGACUAAUUCUUCUAGUUGUACCUGCUGGGCCUGCAUUAUCUGUACCACUACUUGAUAGGCAUGCUGCCAGUCCCUCGGGGCCAAUACCCCAGAGCUGGUGGAGGGACCCUCCAUUCUUCAGAUCAGUGUUCUGACCAAAUGUUCUUUGUCUGUCUGGCCUCCCCAGCAUUUCCAACUAAUGCACCAAUGUUGAGAGUCAAUGCCAAGUCUUCCUGGAGUCAAGUUGUCUGUUCUCACUAGGAUCAAGUAUUCCCUUUAGAACUUGCUUGCCACAACUUUGGUGAAAAGGAGGAAAGGAUAGAAAUAAUUCUAGGAGACAGAUACCUGUUAAUGACUCAGGGUGCUGGCUCCUCUUCAGAGGACUCCACCAUCCCCAUCCCCUGUCCUAUUCACACCAGGUGUUAUAUACUUGCUAUUCUUAGUCUUCAUCUCUGAGAGUUUCAGCUUCCUGGUUAUCUGGCACUAGAUUCCUUGGGACACCUCUUCCCCUGUCUACUUGCCCCAUUCUACUCUGCACCAGCUGCUUCCUGGUUCAAAUCCUGCCCUUGACACUCAGGGCUGGGUUUGGGGUUAUUGUUCCAUCUCCCUCUAAUCCCUCCUUCACCUUCCUCCUCUUCUAGGUCCCCAGAGUGUUUUACUGCACCGUCUUGGACUGGUCUCACCAGAUGAGAUGAUAUUGUCACUUCACCUCCGAUAUUCAGGUAAGCAUGCUGCUGGGACUCUUCUUUGAGUCCCAGGGUUGAUCCCCUUUCUCUGGCAUCUCUUUGCACUCUCCACAGCUCUUCCUCAGUCUUCUUUCUUUUGGAUCAAUGCUGAAGGUUUUAUCGGCAUCCCUUAAAUUUCCCGCACUGGGCAGCUGGGUUCGUUGUGCCUCUCUAGCUCUCCCAGCUGAUCUCCCUUACUGUCUCUGGCUGCUCUGGCUUCCCCAGCUGAUUCUCUUGAUUGUCUUGGGUGCAGCAUUCCUCCUAACAAGGCUCACUGCAUUUUUUGGCUUUGUCUGGGUUCACCCUGGUAAGUCUUUUCUUUCUUCACUCUUUCCCAUGUUCUGACGGCAGGGUGUGUAAGCCACCCUGGCACAGUAACCAUUAUUUUUACUCUCUAUGCCACCUUUUCUGUUUCAUUACACUAUCUUUUACUUACUGCUUCUUUGGUCUUCAUUAUAGAGGGGGGCUAUUUAUUAGGAAAACAGCAAAUAACUGAUUUUUCUCAAGAAAAUAAUUUUCUUCUGCUGGUCAAUCUGUUUCAGAACACUGUCAGAUAUAUAUUAAUUAUUUUUACUCUAUAUGUAUAUAUACAAACUUUUUCUUGUUGAUCACACAUUAUCUUCACUGACUGGUGUCUUUUGGUCUUCAUUAGAGGAACUAUCUAGUGGGAAAACCACAAGUACUACAGGCACUUUUACUACAGAAAGGUAAAAAUUAAUUUAAUAACGGUCAUCAGAGAGUGUGUUAAUGCUGUAUAAGACUUAAGUCAUAAUACCAUUUGUAACUGUUUGUCCCCAAACAAAAACCCUUCUUCACAAAUGGAAAAUCAGAACAAUUAUACCCUUUCAUGUCUUUACCCUGUGGUGAAAGGUACAUAUUCUGAAAUCAAACUUUUUGAUGAUGUUCCAGAAACACCAGAGGGACAGAUCCAGUUUGAAGGCUUCUAGCACCACUCACUGAAAACCACAGAAACACUUAUCCUGAGGAUUAGAAAUCCCCUGGCUCAGAAUACCCAAAAGCCAGAGCAGAAAGACACGGUAAAAAAAAGAAAAGACCUCCUGGUUCCUCAGAAGAAAACACAUCAUCAAACCCUGAGAGAGCCAUGUGUGAAAACACAAACAUUCACAGUUCCAAAGCUACUGUUUUGGGGUCUGUGAAUAAGAAACACAAGGCUAAUUACUCUCACACUUUAGAGAAACCUGAGGAGCUUCUUCCUAUGUAUUUGAAAGAUCAUGAUUAUUGCUCAAACAAAAAGAGAUUUUUUUGUGGGGUGUUGGUAUCCAUAGUGCCUUGAAAGAUCAUGAUUAUUAUUCAAAUAAAAAGAAGAGAUUUUGGGGGGUGUUGGUACCCAUAAUGCCUUGAAAGAUCAUGAUUAUUGUUCAAACAAAAGGACAGAUGUAUGGGGAGGGGAGGUCUGUAUGCAUCAUAAGAGGGGAGGCGCUGAUAAACCUGGGAACAAGUGGAUUGUGGGGCAAAAAGUAAAGACCUGUUUAAAGAUGAGAGUGAAAAAGGCUAUUGAGAAAGAAUAAGACACCCCCUAGUGAGGGGGGCCCCAAAUACCCCAAACCUUCCUGAGCCUGUGAAGCCAGAGAGCAGAUCUGGCGAAUGUGAUUUUGAAGACCCUCUAGAGGGUCCCUUGAAAUCUCUGUCGUCUCCUGAGCCUGUGGAGUCAGAGAGCAGUGUUGGUGAAAAUGAAUCAGCAGACCCUCUAGAGGGUUUCUCAAAGUCUCCUUCUUCUCCUGGGUCUGUGGAAUCAGACAAUAGGGGUGGCGAAAGUGAUUUAGAAGACUUCUCAGAGGGUCCCACAAAUGUAGUGCCUCCUGAGCCUGCGGAGGAUGUCUUGUCUGAUGUAGAAAUGGCAUGGGUGAGAUGCUGGGAGUGGCCUAUAGCUAGGUUUGGACCCCAGUGGUAUAUACAGGAGUUUUGUUUUAGGAAUCUGGAACCUGUGCUGGUACACAUGGCUUUUGAAGCCAUAAGAGGGGGGGUAGAACAAAUUGCAGCAAAUAGAUUCACACCUUCUGAUUAUGCCCAGGACCAUAUUGAGGCAAACGGUAUGAACAACUGCUUAUAGUCACCAAGUAUUAAUUUAAACUGACCUGUUUUUAGAGUGGAUCAGUAAGCUGUUACGAAGUCAGAGAGAAAUACUGUUUGAUUCAACAUUCUGGCUGAUUGUGGUUGUUGUAAGCAAUGUGGUUGGUGGUGCCUGUAGAGUGAUAAGUUCUAUCCCCUAUUCCUAAAUCAUUGCCAAAAAAAGGCAGUAUUUAAUCCAUCUGAACACUUUUGAUAAUAUGCUCUGUCUUGUCGGUAGUCUGCUUGCUCUGACCAAUCUUAGAGGAGCCACAGAUGCAGAACUGCUACAUGGUGCAAACCAGCUGCACAAGAAGUUGGGGUGGUCAGCUCAAAACAGGUUAUGCUGAAGGACGUAGCAUUGUUUGAAGACCUUGUAAAGGUUAACAUUCAUAUAGUAAUGCAUAAGAGGAAAAUAGGGUGGGAUUUCUUUAAAAUACACAACAUACCCCAGUACCCAAAUACCUGUUUCUUUCUGUUGCAUGAUGAACAUUAUUAUGGUGUUCUGGACAUGAAAAAGGUUUUUGGCCUGAGAAAUUAUUGUGAUCUUUGUCAGACAUUGUACAGCCAUAGCCACGCAUGCAGGUUCUGGUGCCAGCUCUGUCUGAGCCCAGACUGUGCAGAUAAUGUGGGAGAGGCACAGAGGUGUCCUAAGUGUAAACUGGUCUGUCGAUCCAUAGAGUGCUUAGAGAGACACACAGCUCUGGCUUCUGAAAAAAAGAUUGACUGUCUGUCUAUAACUUUGUGUUAUAAGUGUAAAUCUUAUGUGGACAAAAAACCACGAAGGAUGGUAAGCUCAAAUGGGUAAGUCUCUACAUAGACCCUUUCCAAUAUAUCACGCUGGAUUCUGUCUGUAUGGCCAUGUACAGAUUUAUGUUUUUGACAGACCAGACCAUAACACUACUUCCCACAGACAACUACCAGAGACAGACAAAGAGAUUUUCAACCCCAUCUAUCCAGUGGCUGAUGUACAUAUUUGAGAAAGAAAGUAUCCAAUUACAGGGUAGGGAACUUCAGGUGGGGGAUAUUUUUUAGAUGGCUAUGCCAUCAUUGAUCAACGUCAACCACCUCUGAACUGCCAUCCAGGGAAGGAGACCUGGCUCUAGGGGAACUUGGAGAGGAGUGGAGCACAAACUCAGAUUCUUCCUCGGUGCCCAGAAUUUCUUUUGCUAGGGUGCUCAGGUCCCCUACUUCCAGAUCCAGGUUCUUCUCUGGCACUGGAAGGUUCAGACUGGGAACUGAAAUGGGGGUGGAGGAGCCUGUCAUGCUGGUGCUGCUUGUCAUGCUGCUGGUGCUGCUUGUUAUGCUAGUGGUGCUGGGGGUUAUUAUGGCUGGUGUUAUUGGAGGGGGUGCAGAUGCAGGCACUGGUCUCACCUCCUUGCUGCCACUAUCACCAGAAGCGUCUUGCUUGCUAGUGCUAGGGAAGAGGCUGCAUCUAAAUUUGGGGAGGUGGGGGGACUUACAGCUCUCCCUCUGCCUCCCCUCCCUUCCUGGCCAAAAGACUUGGCAUUUGCCUUUGUAGCUGAAACUAAACUAAUGUAGCUAAUCUUAGCAUAGAGUGUAAUAAUAGUAAAAUGUAACCAUGUUAGUCUUGUUCUGUAAGAAACUUGAAAACUCCAUUUUGUAUCUUUCUGCUUGACAUAAGUAAAUUAACUCUGCAUAGCCUUUAUGUAUGAGUGUGUGUAAAAGGGUGAAUAGUGAGAGAAUGACAUAGAAAUGGGAUAAAAAGAUUUAACUGUUUAUGCAAGCAACAAGGCACCAAAUAUAAGUUACCAGUCAGUAAAGUAAUUAAUAAAUGGCUAAAGAAUCCCUUUCAGGCCUAGGGAACAAAGAAGAUAACGAGGAGAAGGAAUGCACCCAUCCUGCCAGAUGGGCAGCAAGGAUACUCCAAGCCUGAGAUACCAACUUUAACAACCAAACUGACCUUGGGCUAAGAUAAGUUGAAGGCAGAGAAAACAAAAACAAAAACAAAAGCUGGGUAUAAAAAACCCCAAAGCACUAAAACAAAGGAUGCCAACCCCUAUAAAAGAGAACUUUAAGAAUGCCAAAUUGGGUCAGCCUUUCUUUCAACUGCUGUUUCUUUGGAGCACAAAUGCGUCUGUUUCACCCUGCUCCAAGCUGUUAUCUACAGGAUCUUUCUCUCAUAAUAACCAUCCUACCUGCUAUCUGCAUCUUCUCUCAAUAAGGCCUGGGCCAGCUACCCAGUGCUAUUAUUACACAACUGCUGCUGGUAACUAUAAUGUCUAAAUGAAAUGGUUGUUUUGUGUUUGUGUGUGCCUGUGUGUAAGUUUUGUGCAUGAUGAUUUGUGUGUGUCUAUAUAAGUGGUGUGUCCAAACCUCUAUGUCUAAUUCAUGUAAUCAAUAAAUGUGGCAUUUUGCCUUAUCCCCCUUUAGAA